rnacentral:lncRNA from 1 species
GUCUACUUGUGGUUUGUUGUGCUGAGUGGCCUGUGAUGGAGCAGGAUAUGAUUGGUAAUUUUCCAAGACAGCAAUUAAGACGUCUUUCGAAGAAUUUCUCUCUUUAGCCGUCUCCUUGAAGAGUGACCAAUGCUAAUUUUAGAAAGUUAAUAUUUCCUGAGAUAAUCUCAAAAGAGUAGAGGUAGAAUUUGAUAGUCGUAAUCUAGUCUUAAGUUGCUUCACAAACGACAAGGUUUCAUCUGCGAAUUGGAGGAUACCAAUUUUAUCCAUAGACGGUCCUGGGCAUAACAAUGCAGUCGGCC